CUUAGAAGUAGCCAUUAUAUCUUGCAAAACCAUGGCUGGGACAUCUCAGAUGUAAAGUGACUGUUAAGACUGGUCUAUU
rnacentral:lncRNA from 1 species